GAUGAACGCUGGCGGCGUGCUUAACACAUGCAAGUCGAACGAGAAGUGAAGACGGAAACCUUCGGGCGGAAGGCUUUAUUUCGAGUGGCGGACGGGUGAGUAACGCGUGGGUAACCUGCCUCAUACAGGGGGAUAACAGUUGGAAACGACUGUUAAUACCGCAUAAGACCACAGCACCGCAUGGUGCGGGGGUAAAAACUCCGGUGGUAUGAGAUGGACCCGCGUUCGAUUAGCCAGUUGGCGGGGUAACGGCCCACCAAAGCGACGAUCGAUAGCCGAUCUGAGAAGAUGACCGGCCACAUUGGGACUGAGACACGGCCCAAACUCCUACGGGAGGCAGCAGUGGGGAAUAUUGCACAAUGGGGGAAACCCUGAUGCAGCGACGCCGCGUGAGUGAAGAAGUAUUUCGGUAUGUAAAGCUCUAUCAGCAGGGAAGAAAAUGAAGGUACCUGAGUAAGAAGCCCCGGCUAACUACGUG
rnacentral:rRNA from 1 species